rnacentral:rRNA from 1 species
GAUGAACGCUGGCGGCGUGCCUAAUACAUGCAAGUCGAGCGAACAGACGAGGAGCUUGCUCCUCUGACGUUAGCGGCGGACGGGUGAGUAACACGUGGAUAACCUACCUAUAAGACUGGGAUAACUUCGGGAAACCGGAGCUAAUACAGGAUAAUAUAUUGAACCGUAUGGUUCAAUAGUGAAAGACGGUUUUGCUGUCACUUAUAGAUGGAUCCGCGCCGCAUUAGCUAGUUGGUAAGGUAACGGCUUACCAAGGCAACGAUGCGUAGCCGACCUGAGAGGGUGAUCGGCCACCCUGGAACUGAGACACGGUCCAGACUCCUACGGGAGGCAGCAGUAGGGAAUCUUCCGCAAAGGGCGAAAGCCUGACGGAGCAACGCCGCGUGAGUGAUGAAGGUCUUCGGAUCGUAAAACUCUGUUAUUAGGGAAGAACAAAUGUGUAAGUAACUAUGCACGUCUUGACGGUACCUAAUCAGAAAGCCACGGCUAACUACGUG